rnacentral:ncRNA from 1 species
CAGCGCCCCGGGCGAUACAGGGAAUCCGGUGCGAAUCCGGAGCUGACGCGCAGCGGUGAGAGGGACACGCGGGGCAUCGGCCACUGAGACCAGCUCUCGGGAAGGCGCUCCGCGCGGAGGAUCUCGAGCCCGAAAACCUGCUG